rnacentral:rRNA from 1 species
UACGAAGGGUGCAAGCGUUACUCGGAAUUACUGGGCGUAAAGGGUGCGUAGGUGGUUGUUUAAGUCUGCUGUGAAAGCCCCGGGCUCAACCUGGGAAUGGCAGUGGAUACUGGACAGCUAGAGUGCGGUAGAGGGUAGUGGAAUUCCCGGUGUAGCAGUGAAAUGCGUAGAUAUCUGGAGGAACAUCAGUGGCGAAGGCGACACCCUGGACUCAUACUGACACUGAGGUGCGAAAGCGUGGGGAGCAAACAGG